rnacentral:tRNA from 15 species
GCUUCUAAUCCAGUGAUCCUGGGUUCGAAUCCUAC